rnacentral:rRNA from 1 species
UACGUAGGGGGCAAGCGUUGUCCGGAUUUAUUGGGCGUAAAGAGCGUGUAGGCGGCCAUGCAGGUCCGUUGUGAAAACUCGAGGCUCAACCUCGAGACGCCGAUGGAAACCGCAUGGCUAGAGUCCGGAAGAGGAGAGUGGAAUUCCUGGUGUAGCGGUGAAAUGCGCAGAUAUCGGGAAGAACACCCGUGGCGAAGGCGGCACUCUGGGACGGUACUGACGCUGAGACGCGAAAGCGUGGGGAGCGAACAGG